CUGAACGGGGUGGAGGUAAACUGCCGCCACGGGCUGCAGGCACAGGAUCCCAGAGGACGGGCAGGCUGGUAGCUUGACUGCCUAUCUGGGCCUGGGAAAUGUGGGGGUGGUGUUCUUGUUCAACAAAGCAUGACACCAAGAACAGAAGCGAUCUAGGAUAUCAGGUUGCACAGUCAACUGAGGACAGGUUUCUAGAAGCUUCACCUUCAGCCCGUUAGUCUUAAAGUGCAGCAUGAAGAGAAUGGGCUUGGUUUAAGUGGCUGUGCAACCUUGGGCUAAUUACCAAACCUUUCUGAACUUCAUGGUUUUCGUCUGCCAAAACAGGGACACCCCUGGCUUGUAAGGAGGUAGGAGGCGAUAAGGAUACAGAGAAGACCUGCAAGUCACAGCACCAACUGCCAAGGCAUCUGGGAUUCUUACAAAGCUCAGCUUUGAAUGUAAACAGCCGUGGAGCCUCUGGGGAAAAGCCCUCAUCAGACCCCUUCCAGAGGCCCCAAUUUCCUGUCCAGUGACCCCUGCACCUGUCAACUCAUUGGAGGGACCUGUGAUCCUUGCCAAGAGGCCCAGCAGAAGGGAGUCUCGAGGAGCCUCAGGGUCACUAUGGAGGCCGUGGAGGCCACUGGUCUUGCUGCAUCAGAACGGAUGGCGAUUCUGAGGUCGGGGAGGAGGAGUGAGGUGCCUAGACCCGGUCCCGACAGCUGCGAGACUUUGGUGCCUACCUUGGACACUGAGCAGGCCAAAGAGGAUAAGAAAAGGGGCAAGCUAUGCCUCCUUGGUGCGAUUCCCUCCUCCACCCAGGGGGUGGCUUUGUGCUCCAUGAACACACCUCUUCGCAUGCUCAACUUUCACCACAUCACCUGCUUCAAGUGCACUUUCUUUGCCCCUCUGAGUAUCCAGAUUUUCUCCCGCCACAGUGCCCUGAGGAGGGCCCUCUUCGGGGAAGCCUUUUACCAAGAUCUGCAGCCUGCCUCCCUCCCUCCCUCCCCUGCUGUGCCUGUCUCUUCCCUGUGAAGUAUUUACCACGCAUGGCCUAAAUGGGAUACAUCAUAUCAAUAGAAUAAAAACCAACAUCAUGUGAUCAUCUCACCAGCUGCAGGAAAGGCAUUUGACAAGACCCAGUAUGGUUUCACGACAAAAAAAAAAACAACACUCAAUAGUAGGAAUUGCAAAGCGCUUUCUCAGCCUGCUAAAAACCUUACAACUAAUGUGGUACUCAGUGGGGAAAGACCAACACUCCCUCCCCAAGAUCAAGAACAAGACAAGGACAUCCUCCUCCCUUGCCACUUCUGUUCAACAUCGUAUUAGAGGUUCCAGUCAGGCAGAAGAGGUAAGAAAGAGAAAUACAAAGUAUUGAGAUCGGAAAGGAAGAGGUAAAACUAUCUCUACUUGCAAAUAUUAUAUAAUAGAAAAUCCUAAGGAAUCCACUCAGAAGUGAUUAAUACUAACAAAGGAGGUUAGCAAGGAUGCAAGAUCAGCACACAAAAAUCUGUUGUAUUUCUAUAAAAUUGUAAUGAAUGGGCCGGGGAUGUGGCUCAGUGGCACAGUGCCUGCCUG